UCGCUACAUGUGUUUCAGCCGGUAGGGGGCGUGGCUUACGUUACCUGUGUUCGAGUCACGUACGCAUAAAUAAUUAUCACGAGGUUUGAAACGUAAACAAAAAUUUAUUCUCUGUUUAAAAUUAACACAUACUCUUCUCAGUUUUUUAAGGUUAUUAUAAUGGUGCAGACAUAAUAAAAUAAAUUUGAUAUGAUGUUUUACGAAAUAAAUCUAAUUGUUAGUUUAUAUUCCAGUUUCGAUAACAACAACUGCUUGUUUCUUCCUCUGGAAUUGUUUUACUGGAAUCUUCAUUGGAAUAACUCGGCCAGAUAUAUAAUGGAUCCGUUGUUAUUUAAUUCCCUGAUACGCUCACGAACGUUUCUUCGUAGCAGCGAAUUUAGAUCAAGUCGAUUGGAACAUCGCGUUGGCAUAAGGUAUACUUUCUGUACGCCACGGUAUUCUAAAUGGUCAAUUGCUCUUUUAAUGUUUGCAAGCGUUUGAUCUUCGGUUUGGUUUUCGGUGAGAUCGAAUUCACCAAAUGACAACAGUACGGUCGAUGGAAGUGUCUUUACGAAGAUAUUCAAAUUCAUUAGGAACGAGUUGAUUGUCAUUCUGUAUUGAGAAAGUUCAUUAUUUUCCCAAUAAGAUUGGGCGGCAUUAUACGAAUCCAGUGAUCGAUAUACUAGAUCAUGGCUAGCUGCAUCACCGAGUAUGAGGACACCGUUCAAGAAGUAUGUAUCUAUUCCUCUUGCUUUGCCGUUGGUACAAGUGUAUCGAGUUAAGCUGGUCUGGAAAUUCUCUCUAACGUAUAUUUCAUCUAUUUUCAGGUGGUCUUCUAUGUCUUGGCAUAAAUGGAUGUUUUUCGCAAUUAAUCCAUUCAAUAGUUCUACCAUGACUUCAGGAAGUCCUGUUUUCUUACGUAGGAUUGCAAUAAUGUCACAUUUCGGGAUGGACCGGUGAUGAGUAAAUGUUUCGAUAACGGAAUUCUUUCGCAAUUCGAUGGUUACGGUUGGUUGUUCGUAACUGGUGGUUCGUAUUUUCCAUGUCUGCUAAUUGUCGGUGUAAGCGAGCAAUCUGCCCUAUAUAAUUAGCUCUGGAUCCGCGUAAUAGAAGGUCUGCGUACACAAAUUUUACUUCUACGUAAUUUUGAGCCAGAAGUAGCGUUCCUGUGCAGUCUUGUUUUACGCAAUGGUAGACCACUAAGGCAUCGCGUUCAAGGUUUCCGUAAGUUUCUUCUACGCAGCUUCGAUGAGCGGUGUGUCCGCAUGUGUAAGCUUUAAUUACCGGUGUGUUUUCCGUGUAACUCUUUAAACAGAUAGAGCAGGCUGGAACGGCAAAGUAGCUUGAUGGUUCAUAUACGUUCAUUUUGGAUUAUCUAUUGAGAAAAUAUCAUCAUGUGUUACUCCAUGUGGUGUGAAUUCGAUUGACUUAUCUGAAUAAGUGUUUCUUACCUUCUUUACGUUCGUACGAGAUGUUUAACGAAAUUUUGCCUUGUAGCGUUUGACGUCGACUUGCUUGUGAAUAUUUUACGGAAUGUACACUAUAUUCACUGGAUAACUUUUGCGAAAACGAAAUUAUUACGUUGCUGAAUUAUACGGCAGUUUCUUUUCCGCGGAAUCGACGAUAAUGUCUAAUUGCCCACUCUGUGUGUGUUGGUACGUAAUUCCAUUCAGUUUCAAAUGAUUUAGUGAACGUUUCACGCUGCGUUUCACUCAAUAUUUCCAGUAUUAUAGAAUUCAUUGUCAGUUUUUUCUUUGUUAAACGUGGAUUAAUUCUGAUAAUGGCGUUAUCUUCGUCAUAAUUUAUCGCUGAAUUGCGUUUACGCAGGUUAUAACGUUGUUCUGCUUCUCGUUUAACUGAUUCACGUUCUUUUACAUCCGGAAUCGUUUUUUCCAGGGUAGUUUCGAAAUCUUUUUGUUCAUUAGUUGACAAUGAAGUUUUCAAUUUUCUUCUGAUUUUAUCGUAUUCGGAAUGUUUACGUCUCUUUUUAUUAGCCACUUUUUUAUCAUAUUCUUCAUUUACGAAAUUUUCAAGUAAAUCUUUAUGUUUCCAGAAUGCAAGAAUUUUUUGAUGUAAAGAGCGUUUAUCAAAUUUCGAUCGGAGUUUAGGCUCCUUUCUAAAUGCCUCAAGUUGAUGUAACGUGAGGUAAGUUACUAUUUGUCUUACGCUAAUGAGUGUUCUGUCUUUCUUUUCUUUCAGAUUUUGUAUUUCGUAACAAUUUCUGCCUGCCCUCUUCACAAUCGCAUAUGGCCCAUUCUGUUUGACAUAAAGUUUAGCGGAAGCAAGUUUAUCUGCUGAUGAUUGACGAUGAUUCGUAAUCAUCACCAGUUCACCAGGUUUGUGUAAACGUAAAUCACCUCUUUUCUCAUUGAACUUCUGUUCAUCGUUUUGAUGUUUAAUCGCUCUUUUUUCUUUAUUCAGAUGGAUUAGUGCCUGGUGGUAUGACAUUAGGUCUAUUCGAGCCGUGUCAACUUCUUCCGUAUAUACAGCCUUUCUUGCAAGUUGAUCCGCAGUGAAGUUUCCGUAAUCAGUUUUUCGAGCGUAGGUAUGACAUAAAUGGAAUUCGUCAAACUGUUGUUUCAAUUUAAUUACUUCUUCGAAAAUCUCUUUGUGAUGUACAGGUUUUCCGGAAUUAUUUUUCCAUUUGUUUUCUACCCAUCGAUCACAUUCAGAGUUGAUUGCUGAUGUAACAUAUUGAGAAUCCGUGAAAAUCAUUAGUUUCGUAACUCCAUGGGUAAUCAUAGUUUCCAUAGCAAUUUUAAGUGCCAUGAUCUCUGCUAAAUUGUUAGUAUUCGUAUAAUUUGGGUGGUUGAUUCUUUCAGAAAUGUUCUUCAAUCCUUCCGGAUGCCAACAGAUUCCGAUACCAGCAAUUGCAUCUUCGUCACCGUUGUUUGCGCAAGCUCCAUCUACCCAAACCCAUACGUGGCCAUCGGAUGCUGUAUAGACGUCGUUUAACAUAUCUAAUUUCGUAGACUUAAGUUCUUCUAUCGUGAUAGAUGGUACUUGUUUGUUUCUAGCAGUUUUACGUAAUUCCUUUAGCUCAUAGUGAGCAUUGAUCGGGACUCGAUCGAUAGGUAGGUUCAAAACAAAAUCAUUAAUUUCCCAAAGGUCAUUAGGUAGAAUGCCGACUUCGUUAGGGCAAUUGUUGAUUUCGUCUUCGACUUCUUUAGUAUAGUGAUGCCAUCCUUCAUGGGAAUACGCUCCUCUACAGUCAAAAUUGAUUUUUAGUCGUAAACGUUCUCCGAUCAUUCUCAUUGAUCGUUCAACUGGGUUGGACUGUGGAUUAUAGGGUGUUGAAUUGCCUACGGUGAUUUUUUGUUUUGUAAGAGUUUGAUUCCAAAGUGAAUUACGAAAUUGAACAGCGUUGUCUGUAUUGAUUUUUCUGAUUUUGUACCCUAAAUCCUUGAUGUUAUUAAUUAUGGUUAACAUGCAGUCUGCGACUGUUUCUUGUUUUAUGUCUAACAUAAGCUGUAGCCAAAUUUUUCCAGAGAAAAUGUCUUUUGCUACUAAGAGGUAUCUAGGUUCAUUUGAACUGUUUGCAAUCGGUCCUAGGAUGUCUACAGAUAAUACGUCAGCUAGGCAAUGUGCUUCUACAAAUGAAAAUUCUACAGGUUUCUUUAUUCCAUAGGAUUUGUUUGAUUUACAUGCUAGGCAGGCACUGGUUAGGUAUCGAGCAUAAUGUUUUGAAUUUGAUGAAUAAUAAAAUCUUCGGAAAAUUUGGGUCAACUUGUUGGCACCAACAUGUCCAAAAAUAUCAUGUAUAUACAUCAUCGUGUCUGCAAAUAGUUCAUCGGGAAGGACUGGUACGAUUGAAUCAUCCUUAUAUCUGAACAUUAGGAAUUCUCUACCAUUGAUUUCGUGUAUCUCGUAUCUUUUAGCUAGUUGUCCUUUCGCAAGAUGUUCUCUUUUUGUAAGUUCUGAAUCGGGUGUUCUUAACUUACGUGUAAUUUUCAUACAAUUCGGAUCUCUCUUCUGCAUAACAUCGAUUUUGUCUAAACUGCUGAGCAGUUUGUUGACGAUUUUUUCUUGAUGUGUGUCUACU